ensembl:lncRNA
GUUUAAGCCCAGCUGGUAACUCAGAGCCAGCUACUAAGGAGAAAAAUGACUCCUAGGGCUGAACCUAGGACAAUAGGACACACAGCCAAAGGUAUCAGGCAAAUACCCUUCAUGAUGGUUUGUAUGACAGUACUUUCUAAAAACUAAAGACAAGUAGAUAACUAUAGCCUGCUGCAGCCCAUAGAUGCUCAGUGUUUUCUGAGUUUCCAGAUUAAGCUGUAACAGCUGUUUUUUGCAGCCAUAUGAUAACUGGUUCUUCAAGAGAAUAAAUGGUAGAAAAAUAAUAAUGGAGGGAAUGGAUUCUGCUGGGAGCUUGGAGAAAAAGCUUGGGCUGCAAGUCUGAAAACUUACAAUGAGUUGAGCAUCAAAGGUUGCUUUAGCCCUCAGUCUGUGAGCCAAGAAUCUGGUCUAUCCCUUACCUGACACUUCUGUGUAUGCAGUAGGCUCUGUGGAGUCCAUCUCCUCAGUCACUGCAUCAAGUAUGAUGAGUCUACAUGGUGCCUGUUACAGCUGGUCCUUAAAUGUUUUGUAGUCUAAGCAGUAACAUGCUGUCAGCGUUGUUGCAAGUGUCUGAAGUUCUGUCAGAGAAGUCCAGCUUGUCAGUGAGCGGCUGGUUUCAUGACCCAUCAACAGUCAGACCUGCAUGCUGCGUCAGAGCUCCCUUGUCCAGGAGCCUACACAUAUCCCCUACAAUCAUGGAAUCUUGUACAAGUGGAUCGAUCUAGUUUAUUUGGAUAUGAACUCCCAAGCUCAAAUACAGGAGGAAUUUGAGGAGCGAUCAGAAAUUAUACUAAAAGAUUUUCUUAAGGUGAGCCCAGUGGUUCAGUCUGAUGGGGGCUGCCAGAACAAGUCAGAGGGGUACCAUGUGUCAUGCAGGCUGGGAAAGGACUUGCUCAUAUGGCCAGCAACUAAACCACCUUCUAGUUCCACUCCCUUAAGGGGAAUGGACCAGAUGACCUCCAGCAGUGCCUUCCAACCUCAACCAUGCUGUGAUUCUGUCAUGGAUCCCCUCUGGCUCUCUGUUUGCUGCUGCAUGGGGACUCAUCCAACAUCAAACACUUUGCAGGAAACACAAAUGUUGAAGCAAGAAGCAAAGCAGAAGGAUGGAAACACAUCAUCCUUCCUGCUUCCUAGCCUUGUGUGACCAGAGUGUCCGUCCUUGUCCUGCAGCUUAGUGCUUGGGGAACUUGACCUGUGUGUGAAACAAGUGACCCACAAUGGUUUUGUCUUACUUGAAAGGCUGAUGGACCUCUAGUUUACUGUGCAUCUGUAUCUCUGUGAAAUUGCUUUCUCACCCAGUAGACAAUUAAGUAGCGUUUGAUAUCUCUUGGUCACUGACAUCGAAAAGAGAUGAUGCCCACCUAGACUACAUGCCGCAGUUCAACAGUCCUUAGGACCCUCAAACCACUUGGAGAAAAAUAGUGCCUUAUCUAAGAGUAGACAAUGAUGGCCUCUAGCACAGCAAGAGAGACCUGGGAGCUGAAUGUUAAAGUUUCUGUACUACCUUUCUCAGAAAGAGAAAUACCAACGACUAUGUGAAGCUUUGAAGAGUAAAGACAUCCAGUGGAGUAGUCAGGGGGCCUGCUAAUAAAAGGUGGGGAUGGCAGCUCCCUGCACCUAUUGACCAUGACAAGCAGGAACUGCCAUGAGACUGUGCUGGUUGAUGCUGCCCCCACAGACAUGGUUCUUGAUGGUUCUCCAACAAGGUGAUACAUCUGCUGAUACCUCUACUGUCUUUCAGACUCUAUGAGACAGCAGAGGAAGACAGCUUCCCUGACAUCCUGGAUAAAAUCCUGCAGUUCUUGCCUUCCAAGGCCUUGUUUUUACUGCUUUCCAACUUCACUGGCAUAAAGCUGCACUUCCUGGCUCCCUCUGAUGAAGAUGAAGAUGCUCGGGAAGGAAGUGCCACAGACACCACUGGGAACAGCAGUCCCAAACCUGAGCAGGAAUAGGCUGAAAACCACACUGACAGCAAACCCCAUCAGUCAGACUAGCCUGACAAUAUCCCUGAAGCACAAGACAGUAAGACGCAGAACGGUAAGUGGAGGGGCAUCAGUGUGAAGGGACUUGAGCAGAAUCCUGAUGUUAAGGGUGUCGGCAGCAGAAUUCCCAAUGAUUUCUGUGGAACUAGCAUUUCACCUUGUACUGCAGCCAACACAAGGCACCAGCUUGUCAUACUAGGUAUCUCAAAUCAGUGACCAUCACAAAAGAAUUUGAACUAAAUUAAUGACUAACUUGUCCUGAGCAGUUCAAACAGCCCCUUUUUAUACAUCUUUACUUCCGUGUUCAUGACGUAGUGGAGGUACUCUGCGCAUGCUUCCGCUGUUGCUAGGGGGUCGAUUUCUGCCUCCUGGUGGUAGUCUUCCUCCUGUGUCCCAUAGUUGACCCUUCAUUUAUAUGUCCUUAUAUGGAGUGGUUUGUCUUAUUUCCGCCAGUUCCUGGAACAUCUUGCAAGCCAGUUCCUGGAACGUCUUGCAGUCAUCUUAUGUUUGCAUUAAGUGGUCUCUGGUUUAGUUGGUGUAAGCGAUUGCGGUUAUCUUGUCUCGCAUAAGCUGUGUCCGUUGGCUGUGUGCAUAAGCAAUUUCAUAUCUUCUGUUGCCUAACCUUUACAUUGGGCUUAACAUAUAUACUUAACAUAUAUCUUAAUAAACAAUACCCUAGUCUUUAGUUUUUCACAAUCCUAGCGACCACCGGGAAGAAGGAAAAGACCCCCUAACAACAGACUGGCGCAGAUGCAGAGUACACCAUGGAAGAUCACGUAUAUCGGAAGUAAAGGACUAUAAGAACCACAGUCUCAAGGAAGGGG